CACGUAGGGCGCGAGCGUUGUCCGGAAUUAUUGGGCGUAAAGAGCUCGUAGGCGGCCUGUUGCGUCCGCUGUGAAAGCCCGGGGCUUAACCCCGGGUCGGCAGUGGAUACGGGCAGGCUAGAGGUAGGUAGGGGAGAAUGGAAUUCCCGGUGUAGCGGUGAAAUGCGCAGAUAUCAGGAGGAACACCGGUGGCGAAGGCGGGUCUCUGGGCCGUAACUGACGCUGAGGAGCGAAAGCGUGGGGAGCGAACAGG
rnacentral:rRNA from 1 species